ensembl:misc_RNA 7SK 7SK RNA
GGGUGUGAGAGUGAUCUGGCUACAGCAUCUGUCAUUGCAUUGAUUGCCAGGCUGGCUUCAUUAGUUCUGGCUGGCUAGGCUAGGAUCUCCUUUCUCUCUUACUUCUCCACAUGCGUCUCUUCUCAAACUGCAUGCUCUGUCAAAGAGGGCAUGCUCCUCUAGUAGGGGGGAUCAUUCUCCAGAGAAGAGUAUACUUAUUAUCAGAGAAUAACCCAACUUCAUUCAAGAGCCCCUAAAUAAUCUCUU